UGUGUGUGUGUGUGUGUGUGUGUUAAAAAUACCUUUGUGGCUGUGGUGGAGUUGAAGGAGUAAAGCCUUUAGGGGUUUUAAUCUAAAAAAAAAAUAACUGUCUGAGGGCAGACAGAGUUCACUGGCCUGCUUUCACUGUUGGCAGGCUGACUACCUGGCUGUCUGACUGACUUGUUGUCCGGCAGGUUGACUAGCUGGCUGGCUGAUUAGGUGACUAACUAGCAGGCUAACUAGCAGGCUGACUAGCUAGGUGGCUGGCUGGAUGACUAGCUGGCUGGCUUAUACUAGAUCACUUUCUGGCUGGCUGAAUAGCAGGCUGACUGGCUUGCUGACUAGCUGGCUGGUUGACUCGCGGGCUAACUAGCUGGCUGACUGUCUGGCUGUCUGACUAGCGGGCUAACUGGCUGGCUGACUGACUGGCUGUCUUACUAGCUGGCUUACAGCUGGCUGAUUAGUUGGCUGGCUGACUGGUUGACUCCCCGGUGAGGGGCUUGGCAUGGGGCACUGCAGGGCCAGGGUCUCCCAGGGGCAUGGGACUCCGGUUAAAGGGGGCUAGUGCCCCCAGAGGAUGGUUCUACACCCCUUUACCCUCUCAACCCCCACCCUCCCACUGUGGCCCUCCUUCUGGCUCUCAGGCCGCCAUUUUGAGAGCACUACUGUUGGCAGUGUCUUGGUGGUUUAGCUUAAUUGUUUGUGUGUUUGUGUGUGUAUGUGUGUGUCUCCAUGUGCUUUUAUACAUAUGUGUGUGUCUGGUUUGGGCACAACUCGCGUGACACAUUUGAGACAAAUCAGGCAGUGUCGGCCACAGCCCAGAGACAGACAUGUGUUCGGACGGCCAUAAUGGUCACUUUUAGAACAAGAUGGCAGGGGCACGUCUUCCCAUUAGGGAGUAUACAGACGAGCCGCCCGGCGUACCAUAGCACCCGUGUUCCUCAUCACAGAUCGGCGAUUGUCAUGGAGAGGAAUGUCACGGUGUGUGUGGUUGGUUAAAUUCCCCCCUGAAACUGUUAAUUCAGGGUGACAUGCCUAUCUCUUUCUCUCUCUCGCUCUCUCUCUCUCUCUCUCACACACACUCUCUCUCUCUUCCUUAUUUUUUUUACUUGUAUAAAAGAAAGCGAAGAUAUUUGGACUCAAGAGAGCAGAUUGGGGAGCACGCAUAAUGAGAAAGCCCGUUCGACAUCAGAACAAUGUCUCGUCCGUGUUACCGACCAAAAAACGAAAACGAAAUAGACAGCCAUGACAUGAAACGCUGCAACCGCCCUACGCAAAACAGUCACGACAAAGGAGGGAGUGAGAGACAUGUAGGGUGUAAGAGAGGGUGGAGGGAGGGAGUGAGAGAUGGAGGGAGGGAUUGAGGGAGUGAGAUAGAGAGAGAGAUGGAGGGAGUGAGAGAGAGAUGGAGAGAGUGAGAGAGAGGUGGAGGGAGUGAGAGAUAGAAUAGUGAUGCUCUUGGUUUCUUGAGGGAAUGUUCCUUGUGUUUAAGAUAAACCUCCUAUUUCUCUUCCUCAUCUCUUCUCUGUAGUUCCCAAUGGUCACACACAAAAUAACAUGGAUGUCAAGUCAACAUUAAAAACUAAUUCGGCGACAUACAUCUCAGACCCCCCAAAAGAAGCAGGGCACCCUGGCAAAAUCUGCUGUAGCACACAGUAAAACAGUUUGAAAAUGCAUGACUUGGCAGUUAUUAUUUGUCUUCAACAUGUCGAGAAUAUAUUGUACUUGUGUGGUAAGUGCAUGUCGACUUAAAACUGAACCAUGAUUGGAAACUUUGAACCGUGAAAGGUAAGCCUGGCCGUUUUGUCCGCAGAAAACGAGGCAUGAUGGUGACAGACUAAUUGGCUUUCUGUUCAGGGCAGCUGUACGUCGCCCCCUACCCUGUGCCCAGUCACCCUGCCCUCUCUACCGCCUGCCCCAGAACCCACCUCCCCGCCCGUUCAAGGGCUGGUGAUUUUCCAGCACACUUGGAAGCCUUGUGCUCGGCACAAAGCCCACGAGCAACAAGGCUAAGUCAGGCUGCGAGCCGGGGGACCACCUGUUUUUCACAGCUGGUUUCGUGGCUAAGUCACCUCAAACACAAAUAUACCAGUGUUUAUCACCACAGUGGCCCUUUCAUGCACGGCAGACUGGCCUAGCUGAUUCAAUUACGGGAAAAAUGGUCGAACAAGCCAGGAGGAGGGGAAAACAGGGUGAGUUCUGUCGUUUAGGCAGGCAGGAUGCAGUGUACUAAAACUGCCAGAGGGGGGCGCCAGAAGCGCCGGUGACUUUCAACAUUGAUCUAAAAAUAAAAGAAGUUAACAGAUGAUAAUUGGUCGUCGCCAGGUGACAACACCCGUCUGUGUCUGGCCUCCCAUGGCUCUGUUGCCUUAGGUUGAGGCACUAGUGUCCUCUUCACCCAGGGAUGCAGAUUGUCAAAAGCGUCCUCCACCAGUGUGACACUGGAAGAGCUGUUAAGGUUAGCAGCAAAUUGUGAGGUUUCAACACUAUAGCCUGGUUCUACGCUAUCAAGUGCCUUGUUAGGUUUUGUUUGUAGUUGUACAGGUGACGCUACUACUAUUGUCUGAGGAUGAGAACUGCCACCUGUUGGAUCAAGACCUCGUCCGUCUGAAUCCUCUUAUUUUUCGCUCGCUGUUGCUAAGCGAGUUUGUCAGAAUCGUUAUUAGCCGUUGCGGCGGUGAAACACGUCAAAGCCUGGUAAGGAGCGGCGCUCGACCGGACCCAGCAGCGAGUGCGUCGCUGUCUGUCGUGGUUUAUCUCUCCCACUGCCAGGCCGGGGCGAGCACUGUCCACCAGCAGUCACAUAAAUACUCAUAAUAAUAAUAAUAACCAUAACAAUAACAUCAACCGGGACCUUAAGGAGAGACCCCAGCGCAAGGGGACCCCCACACAUCGCACGGAGACCCCCACACUGCGCACAGACCGGGUCUACACAACCUGCCCGUAGGAAUGGAAAACGGUUCGACAAACAAAAAAACAACAGAAAAACACACAGCCGUUGGCACGGCGACCGUUUUCUCCCUCCGAUGCGCACGCCUAGCCUAGCGUAGUCCGGGCGGGUCUCGUCCACUGGACCCCCGCAGUGAGGGGGCCACCGGGGGGGGGGGCAGUCCCAGUCCGACGAUUGGUCUUCGUCGCGAUUGUUUUGUUUGUAAAGUUCGACUUGUGUCGUGUCAGGCCUCUUCUGAGCGCGUCGUUGGAGGUACGGCCGCAGGUUUGAUUGUGCGAGGCGACUUUUACCACCCGUAACCCCCCCC
ensembl:lncRNA